UACGUAGGGUCCGAGCGUUGUCCGGAAUUAUUGGGCGUAAAGGGCUCGUAGGCGGUCUGUCGCGUCGGGAGUGAAAUUUUUACAGCUUAACUGUGAACGUGCUUUCGAUACGGGCAGACUGGAGGUAUGCAGGGGAGAACGGAAUUCCUGGUGUAGCGGUGAAAUGCGCAGAUAUCAGGAGGAACACCUCGUGGCAAAGCGGCUCUCUGGGCCACUACUGACGCUGAGAAGCGAAAGCAUGGGGAGCGAACAGG
rnacentral:rRNA from 1 species